rnacentral:rRNA from 1 species
UACGGGGGGGGCAAGCGUUGUUCGGAAUUACUGGGCGUAAAGGGCUCGUAGGCGGCCAACUAAGUCACACGUGAAAUCCCUCGGCUCAACCGGGAACUGCGUGUGAGACUGGAUGGCUUGAGUUUGGGAGAGGGAUGCGGAAUUCCAGGUGUAGCGGUGAAAUGCGUAGAUAUCUGGAGGAACACCGGUGGCGAAGGCGGCAUCCUGGACCGGCAUUGACGCUGAGGCGCGAAAGCCAGGGGAGCAAAGCGGG